rnacentral:rRNA from 1 species
AUACGGAGGGUGCAAGCGUUACUCGGAAUCACUGGGCGUAAAGCGCGCGCAGGCGGCCAUUUAAGUUGGAUGUGAAAGCCUACGGCUCAACCGUAGAACUGCAUCCAAAACUAUUUAGCUAGAGUGUGGGAGAGGAAGAUGGAAUUAGUUGUGUAGGGGUAAAAUCCGUAGAGAUAACUAGGAAUACCAAAAGCGAAGGCAAUCUUCUGGAACACUACUGACGCUGAGGCGCGAAAGCGUGGGGAGCAAACGGGAUUAGAAACCCGGGUAGUCC